rnacentral:rRNA from 1 species
UAGGGAAUCUUCCGCAAUGGGCGAAAGCCUGACGGAGCAACGCCGCGUGAUUGAUGAAGGUCUUCGGAUCGUAAAACUCUGUUAUUAGGGAAGAACAAAUGUGUAAGUAACUAUGCACGUCUUGACGGUACCUAAUCAGAAAGCCACGGCUAACUACGUGCCAGCAGCCGCGGUAAUACGUAGGUGGCAAGCGUUAUCCGGAAUUAUUGGGCGUAAAGCGCGCGUAGGCGGUUUUUUAAGUCUGAUGUGAAAGCCCACGGCUCAACCGUGGAGGGUCAUUGGAAACUGGAAAACUUGAGUGCAGAAGAGGAAAGUGGAAUUCCAUGUGUAGCGAUGAAAUGCGCAGAGAUAUGGAGGAACACCAGUGGCGAAGGCGACUUUCUGGUCUGUAACUGACGCUGAUGUGCGAAAGCGUGGGGAUCAAACAGG